rnacentral:rRNA from 1 species
AUUGAACGCUGGCGGCAGGCUUAACACAUGCAAGUCGAGCGGAGAGAGGUAGCUUGCUACUGAUCUUAGCGGCGGACGGGUGAGUAAUGCUUAGGAAUCUGCCUAUUAGUGGGGGACAACAUUUCGAACGGAAUGCUAAUACCGCAUACGUCCUACGGGAGAAAGCAGGGGAUCUUCGGACCUUGCGCUAAUAGAUGAGCCUAGGUCGGAUUAGCUGGUUGGUGGGGUAAAGGCCUACCAAGGCGACGAUCUGUAGCGGGUCUGGGAGGAUGAUCCGCCACACUGGGACUGGGACACGGCCCAGACUCCUACGGGAGGCAGCAGUGGGGAAUAUUGGACAAUGGGCGGAAGGCUGAUCCAGCCAUGCCGCGUGUGUGAAGAAGGCCUUAGGGUUGUAAAGCACUUUAAGCGAGGAGGAGGCUACUUUAGUUAAUACCUAGAGAUAGUGGACGUUACUCGCAGAAUAAGCACCGGCUAACUCUGUGCCAGCCGCCGCAGUAAAAC